rnacentral:ncRNA from 1 species
UUGGUUCACUUAUGUGAUGAAAAGGGAACGGGGUGAGAAUCCCCGACAGUCCCGCUGCUGUGAGCUGCUCUUGAUAUGCUCAACAAAAAAGCCACUGGCCACCUGCCGGGAAGGUGUUGGGCGUAAGUCAGCAAAGUCAGAAGACCUGCCGUUGCC